UACCUCCAAGAGGGCACGACUGUGACUUUUAGUCUUUCUCGUGUUCCCAGUGCCUGACCCAACAGAUGUCUGUGAAAUUGAAUGAGGGUGCGAGAUACCACAAUGACUUCCAACUUCCCCUUCUUUCUCCCUGAUAUUUUCAUUUGAAGGUGGCAGAUGGAUGGGGAAACAGUAGGAAGUAUCUGGAUCAUGGCCAUCAGCCACCUUCAAUCAUCUUUUGAUUCUCGUUCCAAUUCAUUAAACCGCGGUGCCUCCGACUCGAGUCAUACAGCAAGAUGCAGCCAAGAGAAUCAGAGUCCAUUUAUCCUGAAACUUGUCCGUUCCUGAGCUGGAAAGUUCCACACCGCACCGUUUCUUAGGGCAGCUGCCAGCCUGGGACCACACACCGCAGGACAGAACACCCGGCUGCACGCUCUCGAUAUCCUCGCAGGCUGGGCCUGGACAAUCCAGCCUGGGACACCUGUCAGCAUUCCUCGGCCACUGAGAAAGGAAGCACACGGGACACAGGCCCUGAAAACAGCCGCGAGACCUCGCGGACCUUUAAUCCUGUGGCGCAAGUCACUUGUUUUGAGGAAUACUGACUGUCAGGGGUCAUAAGAUAAAUGAGUCAUAAAACAGAUGGCUUAAAAAUCUAUAAACAGUAUACGUAUAUAGGUACACAUGCAACCUUCUCUCUGGCAAUUUCCAAAUGAAAAUAUACUUUCUACAGAUAGAAUGUCAAAGCUGAAAAGAACCCAAACAACUACUUAAACAAACUUCAUUUUACACAUGAGGAGACUGAAGUCCUAGGCCAGGGGUCGGCAAACUUUUUCUGUAAAGGGCCAGAGAGUGAAUUGUUUAGACUCUGUAAGCUGUAUGGCCUCUGCUGCAACGACUCAACUUUGUCACUGCAGCACAAAAGCAGCCAUAGAAAAUACGUAAAUGUGUGACUGUGUUCUGAUAAAAUGUUACUUGCAGACAUUGAAAUUUGAAUCUUAUAUUAUUUUUCACACGCUACAAAAAUACUGUUCUUUUGAUCCCAAGCACUUAAAAAUGUAAAAACCAUUUUUAGUGGGCUAUACAGAGACAGGCGGUAGACUGGCUCUGGCUCUGGGGUCAUACUUUGCGGACCCCUGUCCUGGGCUACUCUGACACCCAAGCGUAGUAAUACAGAGCCUGCUGUGUUAUACCUUAUUUGCGAUUUGCUCUAUCCGUCCCAUCAGUGACUCAGAUCUGCUUCCCCAUAAAGUGGACAGCUAAGGACCUCUGUAAGUGUUUUCUAAAUUUCAGGAGUAAUAUUAAGAUCUAUCAGAGACGUACGCCAGGCCACAAUGGAAAGAACAUCGAUAUGAUGCCAUAUUGUGCACUAAAUAAAAUGCAAUCGACAUAAAAAUAUAAGAAACUUGAGAAACUCACUAAAUUUGAAAAAUAGGCUUUAUUUUAACCAGUGGUAUUGUAUGACAUCCUACACGGCAUAACUGAUUACAGCCAAGUUCAUGAAUACAAAUACAAUAGCAGUUUCCCUCAUUCUCUCUUUUGCUUUCUGUUCAGAGAAAUCAGGAGAUGGGAGCCUGAUGCUCAGAAACCAACGAGCUGUUCCACAGGCUCCGGCCGAGUCCAGGCUCCUGGAGCAUAUUCAGACUCCUAACACAUACACAAUCACAUGUGCAAAGACCUUUAUGAAAAAUACUCAGAGCAGUAUUUCUUCAGGAAAUCACACUAGCAUUUACAAUCAGACACGGCCAAUAAAAUUCAUCUUGUUGUGGAUUGUGAGGAUUUGAACCGCACAUAAAGGAGAUGAGGCCUUUGCGUCCAUUUUUCUUUAAAGAGGGGAGAAUCUCAGGUGAGGUGCGGUCACCCAUCAGCCUGCCUCCUUCCUUCUCGCUCCACAGCUGACUCAGGGGAGCUCCCCGUCCCUCCGGAGGGCAUGCGCCACGGCACUGUGAUACAGAAAUGGAUACACCUUGUCCCAAAUACAAGAUUUUGUCGCGCCACCAACAGUGGAAGUGGCUUUACGCUUUCUUAUUUCACAAAAGGUUUAAAUACGUGGGCCCUUAGGGGGCACAAGAUGCCUGAAAUUCAGAAAAUUAAGGAAGCAACUCUUCUCUACCCCUGAGGAUAUUUCAUCUUUAUGAAGUUGAAAAUACAAAAUAUUAGAAUAAUUUGCCCUUUCUCCCCAUCAAAUGGAAUCACAUUCUCAAAGGAUUCCUGCAAUAUACAAAAUUCUGAAACAACAUUUUUUUCUCCCAACCAAGACCAAGAUUUCAAUGUUAAGCUGCCAAGAAGACCCUCUCCCAAAGACGGGUGGAAAAGACACCUCGUUACUUCUCUAAUAACCACGUUUAGACAAAGAUAGCAAAAGGAGUUUCUGGCCUCAUGAGUUUUUAUUUUUCACUUUGAUUUUCAGCAUUUCUUAGCAUUGGCUAUUGGGAGUGAAGAGAACAAUUUGUUUUUCAAAGUCUGAGAUAUUCCCGGGAAGAGCCCUGAUCUUUCCCGUGACGGUUCCCUAUAAAUAGUUUGU